UACGGAGGGGGCUAGCGUUGUUCGGAAUUACUGGGCGUAAAGCGCACGUAGGCGGCUUUGUAAGUUAGAGGUGAAAGCCCGGGGCUCAACUCCGGAAUUGCCUUUAAGACUGCAUCGCUAGAAUUGUGGAGAGGUAAGUGGAAUUCCGAGUGUAGAGGUGAAAUGCGUAGAUAUCCGGAGGAACACCGGUGGCGAAGGCGAGUCUCUGGACAGUAACUGACGCUGAGGCACGAAGGCCAGGGGAGCAA
rnacentral:rRNA from 1 species